GCCGGGUGUGGUGGCUCACACCUGUAAUCCCAGCACUUUGGGAGGCUGAGGUGGGUGGAUCACCUGAGGUCAGGAGUUCGAGACAAGCCUGGCCAACAUGGAGAAACCCCAUCUCUA
rnacentral:SRP_RNA from 1 species